GUAAAAAUAUGUUUCAAAACCCUGUUUCAUAUUACAUUUUAGAGUGUAGUAUGCUCAACUCAGAAAAGGUCAUUGAAAUAAAAGAUAAGACGUACAAGUGAAGAUAAUUUUCUUUAAACAAUGAAAGGAUAAUUUGGUGUGAGUUUGAUUUGGUUUUCUUACAGUUAGACAUGUCCAUGUUCAGUCAAAUAUUUCAUAGUUAUUUAUUUAAAUUGUGGUUCCCAAGAAUUAAUAUUCCUUGUGAAAGUUCUUGGGUCUUCGGUAGAAGAAGAAUAUAUAAUAAAGCAGAAGACAAAAUGAAUACAAUUUAUUAAAACAAUAUUUUAUGUUAUCUAUUCUAUAACAGAAACAAAGAUAACUAAAGCAGAACUGUUCAUUAAGAAUUUUCCAGAAUGGUACAUAAGAAUGUAGGUGCAAACCCAUUACGUCGAUACUAUAAAGAUGUCAAAGGAAUUGCCAUAAACCAUAAUAAACAAGUGAUCUGCUAUAAUUUUUUUUUUCUCUUAAUCCUGUGUACCCUUGGCUAAGGACGACAUGAAUUGUUUUUGAUUUUGCAAGUUGUUAAAACUAUUGAUUAUAAACUGUUAAGUUGUAUUUGCUCAUUUGCUGUGCUGUCCUUUCAUUGCAUCUGUCCCUCCCCUCUGCAUUUGCUUUUAGUUUGAAGCUACUCUUUUUCUUAGAAAGGUUAACUAGGUCAGUACAUUUUUCCAAUCAUGUUUGAAGAUUUUCUAAUUGUUCUUGUCAUCUAGUGUUUGGAUAAGGCACACUUGGGUUAAGGCACUAUUUAGAUAAAUUUGUCAUAGCACUUAUAAGAAACGAAAAUAAGAAGGAAAAAUGAAAUAACUUUCCAUUAGGUAACACUAGCUUAUAGAAACAUAUAUGUCUAAAUUUUAUAAUUAUUCAUGUCUUCUAGUGUGAAUUUUCAUUUGGGUUUAGUCCAUAAGCUCUUAUAGGAGAAAAAUAUUUGAAGGAAAAAUGGAAUUAGCUUCCAUAUGCUAAAAUUAGUUUAUAAAUAAACUAAUUUAUAAAACUCUCCUAUUAACUUCUCUAAAAACUAACUUAUUCAUAUGUUAAUUUAGCUUGGAAAGUGUUGGAAUAAGUACUAAGUCUAUUUAUGAUCUGUGAAGUCCAAAAGGACAAAAGUAGGGAGUAGUGUGUGGGUUAUCUCUAUUUUAUUGUAUCUAACUGUCUAGGACAUCUUUUUGACUUUCCAUCUCCCUACCAUGGUUACCAAACUCGCAAGUUAACUCGUUAACUUAGUCUAGUUUACGUGUUCACUCAGUGCUUCCAAGUUAACUCGGAAGCAAACUAAAAUUUAGUGUAGAAUCAGUAAACUUGAUAGUAGAAUCAGUAGGCUCGUCUAAAAUCGCGAGCUUGCUUUCGAUUUGGCGAGUUUGUGAAGAUUCUUUUAAAUGCAAAACAAAAUCGUUUUUAUGGCUCACCAAAUUAAGUUUUCUAAUUUAGGGUCAGUGACGAAACUUGUCUUCUUUGUUCCUCUCUUGCGAUUCGUCUAGGCUCUGCUCUCAUUCUUGCUAGCGUCUAUGUUUUGCCCCUUCUUGCACCCUUGCUUGCAUCGUCACUCGUGCCCUCAUUUGUCGUCACUCACACCCUCUUGUUGUCGCUCGCGCCCUCGUGCACCAUUGCUCGCGCCCUCACUCGUGCCUUCGCUUGUUGUCGCCCACCAUCUUGAUGUCAGCAAUGCUUAUGCCUCUGUUUUGCACUCAGUCAUCAUCUCACAAUCCUUUGUGUGGUGUACGUGUAAGUGAAAUUUUAUUCUCUGCACUGAAGAAAGUAUUUUCCGUGUGCCUUUGAUUCCACCUCAUCUCACAAACUUUUGUAUGUGUGUGUAAGUGAUUUUAUUUCUGAAAAGUAAAGGGCUGCAUUGUUUUUAAGUUCUAAACAAAGCCCUAUGUUGCAGUGCUUAUUUUUUAUGUUUUGUAGUGAAAAAACUUAUACCAUUAUGUUUGGAAACGCAUCAAAUUCAAUAGAUGCUAAUCCAAGUGCAUCUUCAUUGGUUAAAAAUAUAAGUAAAAAUGUUUCGGGAAAUCGGUCUGAUAUUGGAUAGAAACAUAGGUUUGAUAUUAAUGGUAAUGGAAGAAAAGUUAAAUGUAACUAUUGCUUAAAGAUUGAGUGGAGGCAUAUUUAGAUUUAAACAUCAUUUUGUUGGAACCAAGGAGUAUUCUGAGCCUUGUGCUAUUGUUUCGGAAGAAAUAAAAAAAUUGAUGAUAAAAAUAGUUGUAGAAGCUAAGGAUGCUUUAGUAAGGACAAGAAAGUUAAAUGUCAUUGAUGAAGACCGUGAGGAAAGUAAGAGUGUUAAAGGAGGAAUAUGGUCUUCAGUUUUAAAGGAAAACGAAAAGUUGCCACUACUAGCAAGGUGGGAGUCCAAGCAUAUAUAAAUCAAAUGAUGAAAAGAGGAUUGAAAGAAGUUAACGCUCAAGUGGCUGAAGCCUUUUACACUAGUGUCAUUCCUUUCAAUGUAAUUAGAAAUCCAACAUUUGCAAAGAUGUGUAAAAUGAUUGGUAAGUAUGGAGUUGGCUACAAACCACAAUCUUAUCAUGAUAUUAGAGAGAAGCUCUUGAAACAAGUUGCGAACAUAUAUAAUUCUUGAGAAAUAUAUGGAGGAGUGGAAGAGAAUUGGUUGUACCAUUGUGUCUGAUGGUUGGAUAGACAAAAAAAGAGUUUCUAUUUGCAACUUCUUCGUCAAUAGUUCUAAAGGGACGAUUUUUCUUUAUUCACUUGACACCUUAGACAUUACAAAACAGUUGAUAAGUAUUCAAAAUGUUAGAUGACAUUGUUUAGUUUAUUGGAGAAGAAAACAUAGUUCAAGUUGUCUGCAAAUUUCAAGGCAGCUGAAGAGUUGUUGGUGCAAAAAAGAGAAAAAUUGUACUGGAUUCCAUGUGCAACAGACUGCAUUAAUUUGAUCUUUAAGGAUUUUGAAAAGAAUUUGAAGGUCCAUGAAUUGAAAAUUAAGAACGGAAGAACGAUUACCACUUACAUUUAGGGAAGAUCAAUGUUGAUUUCCUUGUUGAAAAAGCUCACUAAUGGUAGAGAUCUGAUAAGAUCGGGUGUGAAUAGAUUUGCCACGACUUAUUCAACUUUUGCUUGUCUUCGUGAAUUGAAGGCAUCAUUGUUGACCAUGUUUAGCUUUGAGGAAUGGAAGACAAGCAAGUUUGGAACUUCACAAGAGGGAAGAAGAGUAGAACACGUGGUAUUAGAUAGUAGGUUUUGGAAGAAUGUCUCCACAUGUCUCUCUUAUGGUGGUCUUAAGACUGGUGGACUCAGAUGUAAAACCCGCAAUGAGUUUCACUUAUGAAGAGAUGCAUUGUGCAAAAGAGAAGACUAGGUCCAAUUUUAACAAUAUUAAGAAGAGUUACGAAGAGGUUUGGAGAAUAAUUGAUGCUCGAAGGGAUAAUCAACUUCAUGGGCUUUUGCAUGCAACUACCUAUUUUCUGAACCCCAUUUCCACUAUGAACCUAACUUUAGAUAUGAUGAACUUUAGAUAUGAUGAUGAUGGAGAGGGUAAAGAAGGAUUGUAUAUGUGCAUGAGUGAAUUGGUCUCGGACUUGGCACGAAGAAGAAAAAUUAAUUUGCAAAGUGUUGAAUUUCAUUUUGCUAGAAGACUUUUUGGAAUGGAAGAUGCAAAGGAAAGCAUUAAAUCUUGAGGAAUGUGUGAGAUGUUUGGGGAUGGAAUUCCGGAGUUGAAGAAGUUUGCUAUUUGAAUUCUAAACUUGACUUGUAAUUCUUCGGGUUGUGAGCGUAAUUGGAGUUCAUUUGAAAUGGUAAUUCAAAUUAUUGCUAAUUUAUAAUUUUUUUUAUUAGGUUUAUAUCUUUACCAAAAAUUUGAUAUUUCAUUUUAGGUUCAUACAAAGAGAAGGAAUCAUUUACAUCAGAAAAAAAUGAAUGAUUUAGUUUAUUUGAUGUAUAACUUGAAGUUGAAAAGUAUACAAAUUUGAAAAAUUGUUGUUCUUCCAUUUGAUGACAUUGAAUCAUAUGAUGAAUGGAUAACUGAAGAGGCCGAUAAUGUUGUUGAGAUUAGCAAGCUAAAGGUGAAAAUGAUGGUGAAAAUAUUCACUUGGAUGGAGCAACAAUAGAAUCAGCUCUAGAUGCUU